GAGGUUGGGGUCAGCGUAGGUGGUAGAAGUGGCGAGACCUUCUCGAGCGCCACUUCUGUUCGGCGUUCGACGGGGCGGAGAGAGAGCAACGGCGGCGACGCCGUCGGAGAGAGAUGAGAGGUUUCUCCACUCGAGUUUGCGGAAAAAGGGUCGGUGUGUUGGACCGAGGCAGAUUGCUUGAGAUAAGAGAGAGAGAAAUUAAAAGAGGAAAAAAAGACCUAGGGGCCCACCAGAAUGGUCGAUCGCAAUCGUGCAUGUGGAAAUUAAAUGGAAAAGAAAUUAAUGGCUGCAUCUGAUUGGUAGAUGAAU
rnacentral:lncRNA from 1 species